CUAAUUGAUGUCUUUUACCUUGUAUAUACUUUGUUGUAGCUUUUAACCUACAUUUCUUCCUGCAUGACUGACAGCCUCCAAAAUAUCUAAAUCUAAAGCCUAUAAUAACGAUGAUUGUCGUGGGUCAUCUACGAUUAUUAUGAUGUAGUAAUUACUCAUAGUAAUUUGCUCGAUUUGCUUGUUGCUCUUGGUUGAUUUGCUUACUGCUCUUGCCUGAAGGUAGUAAUUACGCGUACUGAUCCUUGUGAGAAAUUAUUUCGGAGCUUGGUGUGGCUCAUGAUCUUGCAGGUGAAGUUUGAUGGCCUAUCUAUGACCUGAAGAGCAGAGCUAAUGAUUGGCUCAUUUUUAAGCUUGUUUGCUUGCUUAGAAUGCUUAAGUUAUUGAUGUUGAUAUUCCUUUACUUCUGCUCACUUGUGCUAUAGUUGAGCUGCGGUGGAUCUCCCUCCCAAAUUUGGCUGUCAUGCAUAAACAAAACCUUAGCGUUUGCUCCGUCUCACACCCUCCUAUAUAUGCUCCCGUAUUUCAUGCACAUUUUCAUUUGCUUACCAAUAUGUAUGGUUUAGCUUUUCAGGUAGAUGCUGAGAAGCAGGAGCUAUAAUUACUGUCAAAGCCCACCAGUUAAUCCGGGCAUUGUGAGAUUGAAACACGAAGGAAGAACUGUCCAAAACUGACAAGAUUCACUUCUUAUUGGAAUGUCCCUGAAGACACGUUUCCCUGCCUCUCCGCUCGGUGGCCUUCUGAAGGUUUAAGUUGUAACUGCAUCUUGGGAGCUCGACCAUUGAACAACUCAGAAAUCGUGUUUAUGUAUUACUGGUCCCUAUUUUUCGAUCUUUUGCCGAGGGUUCUGUCUAUUAUACCGAAUCCGUUGCCAAUGUCACACUCCUGUUGCUUAUAGGCCAAAAAGUACAUCGAUGUUAUCCUUGAACAAUAUUUCACUUAAUUACCUCAAGUCACUCUCUUCUUUCUGUGACCAA